UUUCCUACGGGACGCAGCAGUGGGGAAUAUUGCGCAAUGGGCGAAAGCCUGACGCAGCAACGCCGCGUGAGGGAUGAAGGUCUUCGGAUCGUAAACCUCUGUCAGCAGGGAAGAACGGUCACUGUGCUAAUCAGCAGUGAAUUGACGGUACCUGCAAAGGAAGCACCGGCUAACUCCGUGCCAGCAGCCGCGGUAAUACGGAGGGUGCGAGCGUUAAUCGGAAUCACUGGGCGUAAAGCGCGCGUAGGCGGCUUUUCAAGUCAGGGGUGAAAUCCCACGGCCCAACCGUGGAACUGCCUUUGAAA
rnacentral:rRNA from 1 species